AGCUAAUAAACUAAUUUUAGGCUUAUAAUUCGAAUAUAAGUGUUGCAUUAAUUGAUUGCUAUUAGUUU
rnacentral:tRNA from 1 species